rnacentral:rRNA from 1 species
GAUGAACGCUAGCUACAGGCUUUACACAUGCAAGUCGAGGGACCGGCGCACGGGUGAGUAACACGUAUCCAACCUGCCCUUUACUCGGGGAUAGCCUUUCGAAAGAAAGAUUAAUACCCGAUAUAAAGGAUGGGGAUGCGUUCCAUUAGGUUGUUGGUGAGGUAACGGCCGACCAAGCCUUCGAUGGUUAGGGGUUCUGAGAGGAAGGUCCCCCGCAUUGAGACAGGGCCCCGGUCCCAACUCCUGCGAGAGGCAGGGGUGCGGAAUAUUGGUAAAAGGGCGGUAGCCUGAACCGGCCAAGUAGCGUGGAGGAUGAAGGCUUAUGGGUCGUUAUCUUCUUUUAUAUAAGAAUUUGUAUUAUAUGAAUAGGGAUCGGCUAACACCGUGCCAGCAGCCGCGGUAAUU